UUUUACUAAAGAUUUCCGUGGAGAG
rnacentral:piRNA from 5 species